rnacentral:tRNA from 3 species
GGAGAGGUGCCGGAGUGGUCGAACGGGGCUUCCUGCUAAGAAGUUAUCCGGGUAACUGGAUCGAGGGUUCGAAUCCCUCCCUCUCCGCCA